rnacentral:rRNA from 1 species
GUAGGUGGCAAGCGUUGUCCGGAAUUAUUGGGCGUAAGGCGCGCGCAGGCGGUUCUUUAAGUCUGAUGUGAAAGCCCACGGGCUCAACCGUGGAGGGUCAUUGGAAACUGGAGAACUUGAGUACAGAAGAGGAAAGCGGAAUUCCACGUGUAGCGGUGAAAUGCGUAGAGAUGUGGAGGAACACCAGUGGCGAAGGCGGCUUUCUGGUCUGUAACUGACGCUGAGGCGCGAAAGCGUGGGGAGCAAACAGGAUUAGAUACCCUGGUAGUCCACGCCGUAAACGAUGAGUGCUAAGUGUUAGGGGGUUUCCGCCCCUUAGUGCUGCAGCUAACGCAUUAAGCACUCCGCCUGGGGAGUACGGCCGCAAGGCUG